UACGAAGGGUGCAAGCGUUAAUCGGAAUUACUGGGCGUAAAGCGCGCGUAGGUGGUUUGGUAAGUUGGAUGUGAAAGCCCUGGGCUCAACCUGGGAACUGCAUCCAAAACUGCCUGACUAGAGUACGGUAGAGGGUGGUGGAAUUUCCUGUGUAGCGGUGAAAUGCGUAGAUAUAGGAAGGAACACCAGUGGCGAAGGCGACCACCUGGACUGAUACUGACACUGAGGUGCGAAAGCGUGGGGAGCAAAC
rnacentral:rRNA from 1 species